AUAAAAUCCAGGGCAGAGCCCCCCAUCCCAGGUGCCGUCGCUGCCCUAGGCACGCCAAGGAACAGAGGAGGGCAGGUAUCUUCUGGGCACCCUUCAGAGUCAAAUCAAGAUUUGAGGCACCCUGAGGAGGCUCGUAGCCAAAGCUUGGAAACGGCAGCACCGAAGCCCCCACGGACACCAUCUCCACGUCCACGUCCGACCGAGGAUGGAUUUCGUCCGCUCCUCUUCCAAAAGCUAAG